AUAAAAAACAAACCGAUGUUUCCAUCCCUUUGGUGGGUUUCUUUUGUCUUUAUAACUUACUCUCGCCGCUCUUGUUCUCUCCUGCCUACCGAAAUCGCCACCAUUUUCUCUGCAAUUAUUAUCUCUUUUUCUCCGUCUUUACCUUUCCUUUCAAAAAUGAAUCCUCAGCAAAACCCUGUAGAUCCCGACCACCCUCAGCUUCCCACCAUCAAGAUGCACCACCCUUCCUCCCCUUGCCACUCCCACCACCACCACCACCUCGCCGCCACCCCUACCCCCACCGCCGGCGCUCGCCGCAAGAUUGGCGUGGCUGUCGACCUCUCCGAUGAGAGUGCCUACGCUGUCCGCUGGGCCGUCCACCACUAUAUCCGUCCAGGUGAUGCUGUCAUCCUCCUCCACGUCAGCCCUACCUCCGUCCUUUUCGGUGCUGACUGGGGUCCACUUCCCCUUCCCAGCCCCACACAAACCCCUACGCAUUCCUCUCAGCCUGACCUCAAUAAAGACGGUUCCAAUUCAUCUCAUGAAGAGCACAGCAAUGGCAAUAGUCAAAAAGAGCGGCAGCUUGAGGAUGAUUUCGACGCCUUUACAUCCUCGAAAGUGGCUGAUCUCGCGAAGCCGCUGAAGGAAGCACAGAUCCCUUAUAAGAUCCACAUAGUAAAGGACCAUGACAUGAAGGAGAGACUGUGUUUGGAGGUGGAGAGGUUGGGGUUAAGUGCGGUGAUCAUGGGGAGUAGAGGGUUUGGAGCUGCUAAACGAGGAAGCGAUGGGAGGUUGGGUAGUGUGAGUGAUUACUGUGUGCAUCAUUGCGUGUGUCCGGUGGUGGUGGUUAGAUAUCCAGAUGACAAGGACGCUGGUGGAAAUGGUGAAGGCGAGGCCAUAGUUAACGUUAACGUGCCUGUGGAGGAGGAAGACGAGAAGGACACCAACCGCAAAGGACUAUAUAGACAAUGAUGUGAAUCAAGAGUUUCUGGUUCCUGUUUAAUUUUAACACGUGUUCAACAUCAACAUGUGAUAUAAGGCACUUGCAUUUGAGACACUUGGAAUAUUUAUCUUAAUGGACAGACAGCUAGCUGGUAAGCUAGUGAAGAAAUUCAAUGUGGAUAGGUCAUAGAUAAAGGAUGAGGCCAAUUAGUUGAAACAGAUGCGUAGUCUGAGCAUUGGAAUCUAUGGUUAGCUCCUCUUCAUAGCCGAUAAUGUAGCAGUCGUCAAUCGACGGAGAUUAGGUGUGGCAUGCUAAGAGGGACACGGUGUUGUUUUGUUGGACUAUCUGCAAAAUUGAAGGUUGUAGAAUGCUCCAUAUGUUUCUCCCUUGUCAACGGUUCCCAUGUAUGAAACUAGAGAGAGCUUGCAGUGAUAUUUGUGUAGCUGAUGAAUGUAAGGUUUUCAGAUUUUCUGCUAUGCCUUUAGAAAAGAUGCUUUUACUGGAUUGUGAUGUACAUCAUUUUUCUCUUGAAGAUUGCAUCUCUCCAAGUUUA